rnacentral:rRNA from 1 species
UACAGAGGGUGCAAGCGUUGUUCGGAAUUAUUGGGCGUAAAGGGCGCGUAGGCGGACUUCCAAGUACCUUGUGAAAUCCCACGGCUCACCCGUGGAACUGCUCGGUAUACUGGUCGUCUUGAGCCUUCUAGGGGCGAGUGGAACAAAUGGUGGAGCGGUGAAAUGCGUAGAUAUCAUUUGGAACGCCAAUGGUGAAAACAACUCGCUGGGGAAGUGCUGACGCUGAGACACGAAAGCCAGGGGAGCGAACGGG